AGAGUUUGUGAGAAGAAUGAAAAGGCUUUGUGUCCAUGGCGAAGCAAAAUCUAACAAGUUGUGGAAAGUGGUACCGGGAAUAAGAAGUAGGAGGAAGAAGGGGGAAUGGAAGUCUUUUGAAAAGAGGACAGACUUAAGGAGG
ensembl:ncRNA F58H1.19 ncRNA